UUAGCAGCUGAAGACUGACGCUGCCCGAUCGCCUCGGAAGCCCCCUAGACCAUCACGGACGCCGAGCUUCAAGUAACUCUCACAGUGGAAGACAAUGGAGCAUGGCAGCAAGAUAUUCUGUGGAAUAUGGUGUUUGGGGCUGUGAUGUAGUCCAUGAUAUCCAUCUUCUUCAGUGUGAUAUAUUUCACCCUGUGCAAUGAGAGGAAAAAAGUUCUGCAUCCAGCAUCCCAGAGCUACGUAUAAUGGUGAUUCCAUUACAACAGAGACUAUUUAAGUAAGAAAGAUAGGUUCCCUUCAUG